GAAGAGGAGUACUGUUUGUGUGUGGCCUCCUGUGUGGCCUUGGCGCCUUUGAGGGGCUUGAAGGAGAAAAGAGCUUUGUUAAAGUGAGAAGUGAAAUAGUGUGUUGGCUGUUCUCUGUGCAGGGUG